rnacentral:rRNA from 1 species
AUAAGUUAAUACCUUAUAGCCGUGAUGUUACCUGCAGAAUAAGCACCGGCUAAUUCCGUGCCAGCAGCCGCGGUAAUACGGAAGGUGCAAGCGUUAAUCGGAAUUACUGGGCGUAAAGCGCGCGUAGGUGGUUUGUUAAGUUGGAUGUGAAAGCCCUGGGCUCAACCUAGGAACUGCAUCCAAAACUAACUCACUAGAGUACGAUAGAGGGAGGUAGAAUUCAUAGUGUAGCGGUGGAAUGCGUAGAUAUUAUGAAGAAUACCAGUGGCGAAGGCGGCCUCCUGGAUCUGUACUGACACUGAGGUGCGAAAGCGUGGGUAGCGAACAGGAUUAGAUACCCUGGUAGUCCACGCCGUAAACGAUGACAACUAGCUGUUGGGAGACAAUGUUUCUCAGUGGCGCAGCUAACGUUUUAAGUUGUCCGCCUGGGGAGUACGGCCGCAAGGCUAAAACUCAAAUGAAUUGACGGGGACCCGCACAAGCGGUGGAGCAUGUGGUUUAAUUCGAUGCAACGCGAAAAACCUUACCUACUCUUGACAUACUUGGAAGCUCUUGUAAUGAGAGUGUGCCUUUUGGAGCCAAGAUACAGGUGCUGCAUGGCUGUCGUCAGCUCGUGUCGUGAGAUGUUCCGUUAAGUCGGAUAACGAGCGCAACCCUUACCCUUAUUUGCCAGCGAUUCGGUCGGGAACUAUAAGGGGACUGCCGGUGAUAAACCGGAGGAAGGUGAGGACGACGUCAAGUCAUCAUGGCCCUUACGAGUAGGGCUACACACGUGCUACAAUGGGGAAUACAGACGGACGCUAAGCCGCGAGGUGGUGCUAAUCCUAGAAAGUUCUUCGUAGUCCGGAUUGGAGUCUGCAACUCGACUCCAUGAAGUCGGAAUCGCUAGUAAUCGCGAAUCAGCAUGUCGCGGUGAAUACGUUCUCGGGUCUUGUACACACCGCCCGUCACACCAUGGAAGUGGAUUGCACCAGAAGUAGAUAGUCUAACCUUCGGGAGGGCGUUUACCACGGUGUGCUUCAUGACUGGGGUGAAGUCGUAACAAGGUAGCCGUAGGGGAACCUGUGGCUG